UACGUAGGGGGCUAGCGUUGUCCGGAAUCAUUGGGCGUAAAGAGCGCGUAGGCGGCCAGAUAAGUCCGGUGUGAAAACUCGAGGCUCAACCUCGAGACGUCGGCGGAAACCCUCUGGCUAGAGUCCGGAAGAGGAGAGUGGAAUUCCUGGUGUAGCGGUGAAAUGCGCAGAUAUCAGGAAGAACACCCGUGGCUAAGGCGGCUCUCUAGUACGGUACUGACGCUGAGACGCGAAAGCGUGGGGAGCGAACAGG
rnacentral:rRNA from 1 species